ensembl:lncRNA
ACCUUCAACAGCUCACAUACAGAGCUUCUGCCUCAAAGGACCACUCAUUGAAGCAGAAAUAAAAAAGGAAUAUAAAGACAGGGGAGUGAUCAGAAGACGAAUAGUGGGUCAGACUUUGUUUCAGGUUUGAUUGUAUAUUUACGUAUUUGUCUAAAUUGACAGGAUUGACUAUCAGAAACAGGGAAUAUAGGCCUAUAUGACAACUUAGCGAAGUAUUUUUAUUAUGUAAUUCUAUUGACACUAAAGGACUAGGGUGGGGAUUCAGUACAAGACUCGAGUGUAAAUUGCCUUUAAAUUACCUUUACUGUAAAUGAUCAACUCAACUACCUUGCUAUGCAAUUGGGAAAAUGCAAUGUUAAUAAAAUGUUAGUGUUAUUACAGCGGCAUAAGUGUUAACAGUAAUAUUAACAAAACUAAAUAUAAGACUAAGUAUCUACGGGAAUAUCUAAACACGGCCUUGUUGAAUCGACUACAGCCAAGGUACCAGUAGGUGGAAAAUAAUGUUAAUUUGUAUUUGAUGAAAAUAUCCCUUUAGUUGGUAUGAUGUGUAUGUUUGAAACUUAUUUGUAUUUGAGCUCAAGCAGUAGAAAAUGUUAAGUGCCGGUACUCAGCUCUGGUGAGCUCCUACACAAGUCAAGCACUGUGAAUUUUGACAGUGGAACUACAUUUUACAUUUUGGAUAUACAGUGCCUCUAGAAAGUCUACAACCCCCUUGGAUUUAUUCAAAUUUGAUUGCGUUACAAAGUGGGAUUAAAAUGGAUUUGAUUGCCAUUUUUUUGUCAAUGAGCCACACUAAAUAUUCUGUAAAGACAAAGUGGAAAAAUUCUAACAUUUUUUGAAGAUUCAUGAAAAUGUUAUAACUAAAAUAUAGUAGUUUCAUAAGAGGGGCUAGAUACAUAAAAUGCUUUUAUUUCUAAAUGGAAAAACAGAUACAGUGCAUUCAGAAAGUAUUCAGACCCCUUGACUUUUCCACAUUUUGUUACAUUACAUCCUUAUUCUAAAUUGAUAAAAAAAAAUUAUUUACUGUGUGUAGAUUGAUGAGGGAAAAAACCCAUUUAAUCCAUUUUAGAAUAAUACCCCAUAAUGACAAAGCAAAAACAGUUGUUUUUUUGUGUGCAAAUGUAUUAAAAAUAAAUAACGGAAAUAUCACAUUUACAUAUGUACUCAGACCGUUUACUCAGUACUUUGUUAAACUACCGCCUCAAGUCUUCUUGAGUAUGACGCUACAAGCUUGGCACACCUGUAUUUGGGGAGUUUCUCCCAUUCAUCUCUACAGAUCCUCUCAAGUUCCGUCGGGUGUUUUCUUGCGAACAUAUCCGAAAAGGAAGAUGGGUCUCUAAUGAAAUAUUCAACAUGGUGGAGGAAUGUUGGUGACCUGCAACACAACACAAGUCCCACAGGGAAACUACUGGGGUAGAUUGCUGAGAACAUCAACAGAUAUGUAUUUUUAGAUAGGCCUAAUCUCAUCUCCGUCUUUAGAGGCAUUAGGAAAAACCUUCAUCUGAAUCAUUUUGUUGCACUAAGAAACAAGGAAAUAGUGAAUGCGUUGAUCGAUAUCUUCAUCAAAUGUGGUAUGCUAUUCUAAGCUCUAGUAUAUUCUCUAUCAACAUUCAAGUAUCAAUGAAGCAUGGAUGGAUUUAUAAAAUGUCAAUAGCCAGUAAUGAAAUGAGAAUCCAUUCUCGGUAACAGGACAGUGCAAAAAAAUAUGACUAUUUACAAUUAUUUAGCAAAUUAAGAAGAAGAUUUAUGAAAUGGAGAUGUAUUGCACAUAUCAUUUGAUUUGAAAUAGAUCCUUUCCUCCUCUGAGUCUUGUGCUUUCAUACAGUAGGUCUGUCUGAGACAUCAUGGAGGGUAACAACAGAAAACAGAGAGAAAGAUUAGAAGAAAGAUCCCCAGAGACGUCUCCUAUGACGGUUCCGGUAACCCAGCCACGCUCCUCAAUGUUCUCCUGCUGUUUGGGGAUGGCAUCUGAUGAACCUGUAGGCGACCCAGCUAGUAAUGUAACACAAGGCUCUAUUAUGAAGCAGCCCACCAGACAGUCUUAUGUCAACAACCCAGACACCAGCGGACGCAUAAUACGAUUGGAGAAUACUGAGCUGCAAAUGUUUCCCACUGGUGCCAUGAGGUCGAACAACACCCCACAACCAGGGCAACCAGAGCCUUCUAAUAAGAUGAAGAAUAAAAGAGGGGACCAAGAUGGAAGGAAGGAGCUCAACCAGGGGUCCAGUCAGAAGCAGAACCAGGAUCAAAAGAUCAAGUUUCUGAUCAAUGUGCCCAUGAGGGUCCCACUACUUAACAACAACCGACUGGACCAAAUCCAGUCACAGGUUCAAAGGUUACUGAAGUUGUUGGAGGAUACAGGAUUUAAGGAGGAAGAUGAGGAGCACCUGAAAGAUGUGGCCAUCAUCAUUGGCCUCAAUGGCAAAGAUUCUCCUGAGCUCAGGGGACAGCUGACAAUGCUGAUGAACAUGGAGGAGAAUACGGUAUUGAAGUUUAAAAAGAUUUCAUUUACCUGGGGACCCAAUGGUAACAUUAAAUAUGUAGACAGUAUAAAUAAAAUAAAAGGUAUACCAUAUACGGAUAUCAGAGAAUAUCUAAAAGAUCAUGAAGAAACUAAACAGCUUGUUAGAGAGUUGAGAGGAGAGGAUCCUGACGCUCUGAUCUAUUUCAGUUUUAUUGACGCUGAUACUGUAAACUUUAACCAAGUUUACAGCUCUUAUUUAGAGAUAGUCAGAAAGCACUCUAACACUCACUCUGGCAUCCCCCCAACGGUGAUGUCAACAGGCUAUGAGUUUCCGGACAGGGCUUUUAAGAGGCCAAGCCAGGUUGACAGAGCAAUUCGAGUUGAGACAGCAAAACACUUUCCUCUAGGCACAUACUAUCCAGAGCCCAACUUCUGUGUUUUACUCCUAAAGGGGGAGGACACACUAACAGAGAGCUUUCUUGGAAAAGACAAAACAAUGGAGUCGCCAAAAAUUAUCAAAAAAGUUAAGGAGCGUGAACAAUUCACAGCAGUCUUUACCGCUGACAAUCCCAUAAUUACCUCUGUUCCAGCAAGGUGUCAAAUAAAUAAGGAUGGCCUGACAACUGCUCAAUCACAUUUUAAUCCUAGAGUUUGGGCAACAAGUGCAUACAUCCAUGGUGAGAUAAAGAGUGAACUAAAGGGCCAAGGAAGUUUUGGUAAAACAAGACGAUUAUUGAUGGAACUGUUGACUUGUCCAGAUGAGAAAUUUGAGGACAAGUGUAAAGAACUUCCUGUGGUAAAUGAUGAUGCAUUUCUGAGCCUGUGUAAGGCAGCUGGUGAGGUCCGAGAAUACAGAAAGAAAGUGAGGGGGUAUGCGAACCAACAGGAUAAGAGGAGUCCGGCAGAGAGCAGAGCAAAACAACCAGAGAUGUAACGCAUACCAAUUCAUGGCACUUCUAAAGCCUAGACUUAUGUUGACAUAAAAAUCUGUAGCCUUACUUUUGUUACGACUUUUAUUUUGCCGUAAUGUAUUGAGACACUGUUUGUAGCCUGGGGACUUUUAUUUUGAAAGCGAUAAUAUUCCCAGAGGCACCUUUGAGAGAGUGUGGAGAAAAAGACACAGAGUGGAUGUUGAUGACUGCGUGGCUGUAUGUCUUGGUCCAGAGUAAUUCAACUACACGUAACAGUUUUCCUUUGUAGCCCGUGUGUUAUUUUUACUGCCAAUCCACAAGUCCUCUGUUGGAGGUAGUGUUUAAUACCUAAAAGUAGAAAUAAGAGUUAUUCCACAAGUCCUCUGUUGGAGGUAGUGUUUAAUACCUACAAGUAGAAGUAAGAGUUAUUCCACAAGUCCUCUGUUGGAGGUAGUGUUUAAUACCUACAAGUUAAAAUAAGAGUUAUACAAAUCUAUCCAAUCCACAAGUCCUCUGUUGGAGGUAGUGUUUAAUACCUACAAGUUAAAAUAAGAGUUAUACAAAUCUAUCCAAUCCACAAGUCCUCUGUUGGAGGUAGUGUUUAAUACCUACAAGUAGAAAUAAGAGUUAUACAAAUCUAUCCAAUCCACAAGUCCUCUGUUGGAGGUAGUGUUUAAUACCUACAAGCAGAAAUAAGGGUUAUACAAAUCUAUCCAAUCCACAAGUCCUCUGUUGGAGGUAGUGUUUAAUACCUACAAGUAGAAAUAAGAGUUAUACAAAUCUAUCCAAUCCACAAGUCCUCUGUUGGAGGUCGUGUUUAAUACCUACAAGUAGAAAUAAGAGUUAUUCCACAAGACCUCUGUUGGAGGUCGUGUUUAAUACCUACAAGUAGAAGUAAGAGUUAUUCCACAAGUCCUCUGUUGGAGGUAGUGUUUAAUACCUACAAGUAGAAAUAAGGGUUAUACAAAUCUAUCCAAUCCACAAGUCCUCUGUUGGAGGUAGUGUUUAAUACCUACAAGUAGAAAUAAGAGUUAUACAAAUCUAUCCAAUCCACAAGUCCUCUGUUGGAGGUAGUGUUUAAUACCUACAAGUAGAAAUAAGAGUUAUUCCACAAGUCCUCUGUUGGAGGUAGUGUUUAAUACCUACAAGUAGAAAUAAGAGUUAUACAAAUCUAUCCAAUCCACAAGUCCUCUGUUGGAGGUAGUGUUUAAUACCUACAAGCAGAAAUAAGGGUUAUACAAAUCUAUCCAAUCCACAAGUCCUCUGUUGGAGGUAAUGUUUAAUACCUACAAGUAGAAAUAAGAGUUAUACAAAUCUAUCCAAUCCAGAAUAAGAAUGUCAUUUCCAAACAAGACAUAAACUCAAAUGUUGCUAAAUGACCUGGAUGAAUCUCUAGUCGUACACAACUAUGGGUGUAACCAUUUGUGCCAGAAUACUCACCAGACAUCAGCUUUAAUGGUGUAGAGGUGAGGAGUGAAAUACAGUAUAAAACAAUUAGGAAUUGACGGGUAUAAUAAGUUAUUCAUGAAACAAAGGUUAAAUCACUUACAGUUACAAUAAGUGCCAUGGAAGUUUAAUGACCACAGUCAGGACAUCUGUUUAAUGUCCCAUCUGAAAGGCUGCACCUAAUGCAGGGCAAUGUCCCUGUCACUGCCCCUGGGCAUUGGGAACUCCUUAGACCAGAGGGAAGAGUGCCCCCUACUGGCCCUCCAACACCACUUCCAGCCUACUGUAUACAUAUUAGUUGUGUCCUAUAUAAUUGCUCCAUUCAACACAUAGCACUAAAGAGCGAUUGAAACACACUACAGUGUGAUUGAAAUGUACAUUUCCAAUUGAGUGGAUAUAUGCAGCCUUUACCGUGAACACAGUCUCCACAAACAUGGGAACAUGGCUGUUUUCCAUUUGAACAUGCAUGUAGGGUAGAUAGGGUUUGAUGGAGGAGUAGAGACACUUGUCUGACUGUGACUGCAUGACUGCUCUUCAGGCUGUGAUGAGAUUCAUAUGUACUUUAUCACUGAAUACUUUGUUGUGAACCUUUUCGUUUUAAUCAUAAGUAAUAUUAAUAAAGAGUUGUUGAUAUAAUACAGUGAUAUAUAGCAUGAAUGGAAAACACCUUUUAGUUUGAACUAAUCAUAAUGCCAGGCCAGAACUAACCAUUUUAUAAAACUAUAGAAAGAUAUCCUAUGUAAUGGUAACACUUGUGGUUAAGUACUGUAACAAUAUGUACCUACACUGUCAUUUUAUAACCAUCACAUGUAUGUUCUAACUAUCAUUAUAACCAUCACAUGUAUGUUCUAUCAUUAUUGUCACGCCCUGGUCUUAGUAUUUUGUGUUUUUCUUAUUUAUUUGGUCAGGCCAGGGUGUGACAUGGGUUUAUUUUGUGUUGUGUUUAUGUAUAGGGUUUUUUUCGUAGGUAUUGGGAUUGUGGCUGAGUAGGGGUGUCUAGCAUAGUCUAUGGCUGCCUGAGGCGGUUCUCAAUCAGAGUCAGGUGAUUCUCGUUGUCUCUGAUUGGGAACCAUAUUUAGGUAGCCUGGGUUUCACUGUGUGUUUUGUGGGUGAUUGUUCCUGUCUCAGUGUGUUGGUAUUCACCAGACAGGCUGUAUAGGUUUUCACAUUUCCGUUUGUUGUUUUUGUAUUGUUCGUUUUCAUCGUUAUUAAAGAUGUCUCGAUUUAACCACGCUGCAUUUUGGUCCGACUCUCCUUCGACGGAAGCCGUAACAAUUAUAACCAUCACAUGUAUGUUCUAACUAUCAUUAUAACCAUCACAUGUAGGUUCUAUCAUUAUAACCAUCACAUGUAUGUUCUAUCAUUAUAACCAUCACAUGUAUGUUCUAUCAUUAUAACCAUCACAUGUAUGUUCUAUCAUUAUAACCAUCACAUGUAUGUUCUAUCAUUAUAACCAUCACAUGCAUGUUCUAACUAUCAUUAUAACCAUCACAUGUAUGUUCUAUCAUUAUAACCAUCACAUGUAUGUUCUAACUAUCAUUAUAACCAUCACAUAUUAUGAUCAGUAAUCACAUAAUUAAGUUUUGACAUUUGAUUUGAUGAUUUCACUAUAUGUGUCUAUGUCAGUUUUUGCCUGCCUCAUAAUAAACAGAUGGUAAAUCCAA